rnacentral:rRNA from 1 species
UACGUAGGGUGCUAGCGUUGUCCGGAAUUACUGGGCGUAAAGAGCUCGUAGGUGGUUUGUCGCGUCGUCUGUGAAAUCCCGGGGCUUAACCUCGGGCGUGCAGGCGAUACGGGCAUAACUUGAGUGCUGUAGGGGAGACUGGAAUUCCUGGUGUAGCGGUGAAAUGCGCAGAUUUCAGGAGGAACACCAAUGGCGAAGGCAGGUCUCUGGGCAGUAACUGACGCUGAGGAGCGAAAGCAUGGGUAGCGAA